CGGAGAGUAGCGCAGUUUGGUAGCGCACCUGCCUUGGGAGCAGGGGGUCGCAGGUUCGAAUCCUGUCUCUCCGACCA
rnacentral:tRNA from 2 species